rnacentral:RNase_P_RNA from 1 species
GGGCCGAACAGCCGCGCGUGCGAGGCGAAAGCCUGUACGUGAGGAAAGUCCGGGCUCCGCAGGGCAGGGAUAACGGGUAACGCCCGCCGGGGGUGACCCCAGGACAAGUGCAACAGAGAUAUACCGCCGCGGCUGCUUCGCAGCCGCGGUAAGGGUGGAAAGGCGAGGUAAGAGCUCACCCAUCGUCCGGAGACGGAACGAUGCUGUAAACUCUAUCCGGAGCAACGCCGUGGAGGGACAUAUGGCCGGCCCGGCCGUCCCGGGGAGGCGGCUUGAGCGCGUCGGCAACGGCGCGUCGAGACAGAUGGCUGUUUAAGACAGAACCCGGCUUACAGACCCGAUC